AUUGAACGCUGGCGGCAGGCCUAACACAUGCAAGUCGAACGAGUGGCGGACGGGUGAGUAAUGUCUGGGAAACUGCCCGAUGGAGGGGGGUAACUACUGGAAACGGUAGCUAAUACCGCAUACCAUCGGAUGUGCCCAGAUGGGAGUAGCUAGUCGGUGGGGUAACGGCUCACCUAGGCGACGAUCCCUAGCUGGUCUGAGAGGAUGACCGGCAACACUGGGACUGAGACACGGUCCAGACUCCUACGGGAGGCAGCAGUGGGGAAUAUUGGACAAUGGGCGAAAGCCUGAUGCAGCCAUGCCGCGUGUGUGAAGAAGGCCUUCGGGUUGUAAAGUACUUUUGGCGAGGAGGCGUUACUCGCAGAAAAAGCACCGGCUAACUCCGUGCCAGCCGCCGCGGUAAUAC
rnacentral:rRNA from 1 species